rnacentral:rRNA from 1 species
AUGGAAGCGUCGCGGUCGGGAAGUAUUGUUAGUGAUCAAAGGUUAAAAGAACGAGCAGCUGGGAAAAAAAUUGCCCAGCUCGGCAAACAAGCAAAUCAAUCGUUCUCCCCGCUCAAUGUGUCUAGCGACAUCGUCGCUAAUGCUCCGGGGAUGGUGCCCGGUUAUAUCAAUCUUGGAGAUUACCAGCCCGACGAUGUACAUUAUGAUUUCUUGGAGGUGUACGAACACAGAUAUGAGUACGGGAAGCCUCUCAUCAAAGAUGAAAAAUCUCUAACAAUGAUGAUGCGAAGAUUACAUAAUUGGUACAUGAAAACCUGCAGAGAGUCUGGUGGGACGAAUACUUUGUAUCUGAGAAUUUUAAGAGGAGCACGACCUUGUUGGAACUGA